UACGUAGGGUGCGAGCGUUGUCCGGAAUUACUGGGCGUAAAGAGCUCGUAGGUGGUUUGUCGCGUUGUUCGUGAAAACUCACAACUCAAUUGUGGGCGUGCGGGCGAUACGGGCAGACUGGAGUACUGCAGGGGAGACUGGAAUUCCUGGUGUAGCGGUGGAAUGCGCAGAUAUCAGGAGGAACACCGGUGGCGAAGGCGGGUCUCUGGGCCGAAACUGACGCUGAGGAGCGAAAGCGUGGGGAGCAAACAGG
rnacentral:rRNA from 1 species